rnacentral:rRNA from 1 species
CCGUAACUAUAACGGUCCUAAGGUAGCGAAAUUCCUUGUCGGGUAAGUUCCGACCCGCACGAAUGGCGUAACGAUGGCCACACUGUCUCCUCCCGAGACUCAGCGAAGUUGAAGUGGUUGUGAAGAUGCAAUCUACCCGCUGCUAGACGGAAAGACCCCGUGAACCUUUACUGUAGCUUUGCAUUGGACUUUGAAGUCACUUGUGUAGGAUAGGUGGGAGGCUUUGAAGCAGAGACGCCAGUCUCUGUGGAGCCGUCCUUGAAAUACCACCCUGGUGUCUUUGAGGUUCUAACCCAGACCCGUAAUCCGGGUCGGGGACCGUGCAUGGUAGGCAGUUUGACUGGGGCGGUCUCCUCCCAAAGAGUAACGGAGGAGUUCGAAGGUUACCUAGGUCCGGUCGGAAAUCGGACUGAUAGUGCAAUGGCAAAAGGUAGCUUAACUGCGAGACCGACAAGUCGAGCAGGUGCGAAAGCAGGACAUAGUGAUCCGGUGGUUCUGUAUGGAAGGGCCAUCGCUCAACGGAUAAAAGGUACUCCGGGGAUAACAGGCUGAUUCCGCCCAAGAGUUCAUAUCGACGGCGGAGUUUGGCACCUCGAUGUCGGCUCAUCACAUCCUGGGGCUGUAGUCGGUCCCAAGGGUAUGGCUGUUCGCCAUUUAAAGUGGUACGUGAGCUGGGUUUAAAACGUCGUGAGACAGUUUGGUCCCUAUCUGCAGUGGGCGUUGGAAGUUUGACGGGGGCUGCUCCUAGUACGAGAGGACCGGAGUGGACGAACCUCUGGUGUACCGGUUGUAACGCCAGUUGCAUAGCCGGGUAGCUAAGUUCGGAAGAGAUAAGCGCUGAAAGCAUCUAAGCGCGAAACUCGCCUGAAGAUGAGACUUCCCUUGCGGUUUAACCGCACUAAAGAGUCGUUCGAGACCAGGACGUUGAUAGG